UUUGGCCUGUCUAGUAUAAUAAAUAUGUUUUUGUCAGAAUUUGACCCAUUUAUGAUGUAAGCAAAAAUGAUAUGUCUUAAUCCAUUUGUCUCACACACUAAUUUUAUAAUUUAAAAGAGCAAUAGUAGUUUCAUUCAGAAAGACAGGUUUAAGGCCAGGUGCAGUGGCUCACACCCAUAAUCCCAGCAUUUUGGAUCACCUGAGGUCAGGAGUUCAAGACCAGCCUGGCCAAGGUGGUGAAACCCCGUCUCUACUAAAAAUACAAACGUGGCAGGCGCGUGUAAUCCCAUCUACUUGGGAGGCUGAGACAGGAGAAUCGCUUGAACCCGGGGGGCGGAGGUUGCAGUGAAUCGAGAUCCCACCACUGCACUCCAGCCUGCGCGACAGAGUGAGACUCCGUUUCAAAAAAAAA
rnacentral:lncRNA from 1 species